rnacentral:rRNA from 1 species
GUGCCAGCAGCCGCGGUAAGACGGACUGUGCAAACGUUAUUCGGAAUCACUGGGCUUGAAGAGUGCGUAGGCGGUUUCGUAAGUAGGGUGUGAAAGCCCUCGGCUCAACCGGGAAACUGCGCUUGAAACUGGAUGACUGGAGGGAUGCAGGGGUGUGUGGAACUUCCGGUGGAGCGGUGAAAUGUGUAUAUAUCGGAAGGAACGCCAGCAGCGAAAGCGGCACACUGGGCAUCUACUGACGCUGAGGCACGAAAGCUAGGGGAGUGAACGGGAUUAGAUACCCCGGUAAUCCUAGCCGUAAACACUGAACACUGGGGGAGGGAGGCUUCGGCCUUCUUUCCCGUAACGAAAGCGUUAAGUGUUCCGCCUGGGGAGUAUGGUCGCAAGGCUGAAACUCAAAGGAAUUGACGGGGGCUCACACAAGCGGUGGAGCAUGUGGCUUAAUUCGAGGCAACGCGAAGAACCUUAUCCUGGGUUUGACAUGUACGGAUUAACCCUAUGAAAGUAGGGCCACGCUCGCAAGAGUGGAACGUGCACAGGUGCUGCAUAGCUGUCGUCAGCUCGUGUCGUGAGAUGUCGCGUUAAGUCCCGCAACGAGCGCAACCCUUGCCAUUAGUUGCUACGAAAGGGCACUCUAAUGGGACUGCCGGUGACAAACCGGGAGGAAGGGUGGGGAAUGACGUCAAGUCCUCAUGGCCUCUUUGUAGGGUGGGGCUACACACGUCAUACGAGUGUCUGGUACAAGAGGGUUUGCCCACCCCGCGGAGGGGAGAGCCAAUCCCAUAAAGCCAGUCGUAGUCCAGGAUCGCAGUCUGCACUCGACUGCGUGAAGUCAGGAUCGCUAGUAUCGCAGAAUCAGAUCGUCGCGGAUGAAUUACGUCCCGGGUCUAGCAACACACCGCCGGUCGAAGAACUAAUUCGUUCAAGCCUGCAGACUAGUCCUUUGAAAGGAGAGGCUUAUAUUUC